rnacentral:rRNA from 1 species
UGGGGAAUAUUGCACAAUGGGCGCAAGCCUGAUGCAGCCAUGCCGCGUGUGUGAAGAAGGCCUUCGGGUUGUAAAGCACUUUCAGCGGGGAGGAAGGCGUUAAGGUUAAUAACCUUGGCGAUUGACGUUACCCGCAGAAGAAGCACCGGCUAACUCCGUGCCAGCAGCCGCGGUAAUACGGAGGGUGCAAGCGUUAAUCGGAAUUACUGGGCGUAAAGCGCACGCAGGCGGUUUGUUAAGUCAGAUGUGAAAUCCCCGGGCUCAACCUGGGAACUGCAUCUGAUACUGGCAAGCUUGAGUCUCGUAGAGGGGGGUAGAAUUCCAGGUGUAGCGGGGAAAUGCGUAGAGAUCUGGAGGAAUACCGGUGGCGAAGGCGGCCCCCUGGACGAAGACUGACGCUCAGGUGCGAAGGCGUGGGGAGCAAACAGG